rnacentral:rRNA from 1 species
GACGGAGGAUGCAAGCGUUAUCCGGAAUUAUUGGGCGUAAAGCGUCCGCAGGUGGCAGUUCAAGUCUGCUGUCAAAGACCGGGGCUUAACUUCGGAAAGGCAGUGGAAACUGAACAGCUAGAGUAUGGUAGGGGCAGAGGGAAUUCCUGGUGUAGCGGUGAAAUGCGUAGAGAUCAGGAAGAACAUCGGUGGCGAAGGCGCUCUGCUGGACCAUAACUGACACUCAGGGACGAAAACUAGGGGAGCGAAUGGG